AGCGAUUUCAGUAUAUAGCGUUAAGUCUGAAAAUGUGGCGCUCGUUGAGAUACAUCGUAUUUGUAGGCAUGAUUGCUUGUAUAACUGCAUACAAGGAUCCACGGUUCAAAUGGGAAUUCCCUAGAGCAUCUGCCGUUCAACCAACUUGUCAAGGCCCUAAAGGUACAAAAUGCUUUGUCCGUUAUGACAAAAAUGACAGCCAUGUGGCAAAAGGAAAAUGCAAAGAUGUCUGCCCGAAUCAGGCGUGGAAGUGAAGGACAUUAGAAAUAAUCCACAAAGAAAGACCGAUGUCCAGAUGGAGAAGGGUGUAUUUGCUGCGUCCGUAAGAGCAUAAUUAGAAUUGAAAACUGGGAAAUUCCAUGUGGGCUGUAUUGCGAACCUGAUUGCACUGCCGUACAUGGAAAAUGUCAAUCGUCAUGUGACCCGGAAACACAACAGCGAGUACGUAAAAUCAAAUGUCCAUUGAAAUGUGUUUGUUGCAAGUCCUAUUCAGAAACAAAAAACGGAAAAAAUAUGGUGUCCGUUAAAGCUGAUCCAUUCUUCUAUACAUUCGAUGGGAAGAACUUCAAGUAUGACGGACAAAAUGGAUGCGUAUAUGUUCUAUUCCAAGAGUGUGUGUAUCGUCCAUCUUUCUCUGUCUUGAUUCGCCACCACUUCAUUGAAGAUGCCGAGAAAAUGGUGGUUUCUGAAGUAUCAGUAGUGUUAGAGGACAUCCGAAUUAGCUUAAUUAAACAGAAUAUUUACGUAA